rnacentral:tRNA from 1 species
UUUAAUUAGUAUAAAAAGUACAUUUAAUUUCCAAUUAAAUAGUUUCUUAAAGAAAUUAAAU